GCCAGUGUAGCUCAAUCGGUAGAGCAGGGUCCUUGUAAGGCCAAGGUUGGGGGUUCAAGUCCCCCCGCUGGCUCCA
rnacentral:tRNA from 1 species